rnacentral:tRNA from 1 species
GCGGAAGAAUAGGAGUUGCAUAUCCGUUGACAACGGCGGACGUGCAAGCGAGUUCAAAUCUCGGCUUCCGCGCCA